rnacentral:rRNA from 1 species
UACGUAGGGGGCAAGCGUUGUCCGGAUUUAUUGGGCGUAAAGAGCGUGUAGGCGGCCUGACAAGUCUGCUGUGAAAACUCGAGGCUCAACCUCGAGAUGUCGGCGGAAACUGUCUGGCUAGAGUCCGGAAGAGGAGAGUGGAAUUCCUGGUGUAGCGGUGAAAUGCGCAGAUAUCGGGAAGAACACCCGUGGCGAAGGCGGCUCUCUGGGACGGUACUGACGCUGAGACGCGAAAGCGUGGGGAGCGAACAGG